rnacentral:rRNA from 1 species
UACAGAGGGUGCGAGCGUUAAUCGGAAUUACUGGGCGUAAAGCGUGCGUAGACGGUUUUGUAAGUCGGAUGUGAAAUCCCCGGGCUCAACCUGGGAAUUGCAUUCGAGACUGCAAGGCUUGGGUGCGGAAGAGGGAAGCGGAAUUUCCGGUGUAGCGGUGAAAUGCGUAGAUAUCGGAAGGAACGCCGGUGGCGAAAGCGGCGUGCUGGACCUCUUCUGACGCUGAGGCGCGAAAGCCAGGGGAGCGAACGGG